CGCGUCUGUUGGAGGAGUAGACAGCCAUCUCGGGUGAUUGUAAUGAAGGUAUUCUGAUCAUUGAUAUCUUGGGAAAAUUUCCAGACAAGUCCUGCUAGAGGCCCCAGACAGCUGGAAGACAGAAGAGCCUGAACUAAAUGCCGAACCCUAAGAGACUUGAAGAGACCAAAGAUUGUCUCAAGAGGAACUACACUGUCACUAACUCCAUCUCAGCCCUCAUGUAGACAUGAGAUAUUGAUCUCCACCAGGAAGAGAACAAGACUGACUCUGAUGUUUAUUACAAGUUAAUAUAAUUGUGGGGUGAUAUAAAGCAAAAUAAAG